GAUGAACGCUGGCGGCGUGCCUAAUACAUGCAAGUCGAGCGGACGGACGAGGAGCUUGCUUCUCUCAUGUUAGCGGCGGACGGGUGAGUAACACGUGGAUCACCCACCUAUCAGACUGGGAUCACUUCGGGACACCGGCGCUAAUACCGGAUAAUCUUUUGAACCGCAUGGUUCAAAAGUGAAAGACGGUCUUGCUGUCACUUCUAGAUGGAUCCGCGCUGCAUUAGCUAGUUGGUAAGUUAACGGCCUACGAAGGCAACUAUGCAUAGCCGACCUGAGAGGGUGAUAGGCGACCCUGGAACUGAGACGCGGUCCAGAGGCCUACGGGAGGCAGCAGUAGGGAAUCUGCCGCAAUGGGCGAAAGCCUGACGGAGCAACGCCGCGUGAGUGAUGAAGGUCUUCGGAUCGUAAAACUCUGUUAUUAGGGAAGAACAGAUGUGUAAGUAACUGUGCACAUCUUGACGGUACCUAGUCAGAAAGCCACGGCUAACUACAUG
rnacentral:rRNA from 1 species